CACGCCGUAAACGAUGAGAACUAGGUGUUGCGGGUAUUGACCCCUGCAGUGCCGCAGCUAACGCAUUAAGUUCUCCGCCUGGGAANACGCGCAGAACCUUACCUGGGCUUGACAUCUACGGAACCUUCGUGAAAGCGAGGGGUGCCUUUCGGGGAGCCGUAAGACAGGUGC
rnacentral:rRNA from 1 species